GCACUGGUGGCUCAGUGGUAGAAUUCUUGCCUUCCAUGCAUGAGACCCAGGUUUAAUUCCAGCCAAUGCA
rnacentral:tRNA from 1 species